GCGCAGCAGGCGCGAAAACUUCACAAUGUGCGAAAGCACGAUGAGGGAAUCCCAAGUGCUUGCACGUAAGUGUAAGCUGUUUCUCUGUCUAAAACGCAGAGAGAGUAAGGGCUGGGUAAGACGGGUGCCAGCCGCCGCGGUAAUACCUGCAGCUCGAGUGGUGACCGUUAUUAUUGGGCCUAAAACGUCCGUAGCCGGUUUAAUAAAUGCCUGGGUAAAUCGGACCGCUUAACGGUUCGAAUUCCGGGUAGACUGUUAAACUUGAGACCGGGAGAAGUUAGAGGUACUCCUGGGGUAGAGGUGAAAUUCUGUAAUCCUAGGGGGACCACCAGUGGCGAAGGCGUCUAACUAGAACGGGUCUGACGGUGAGGGACGAAGCCCUGGGGCGCAAACGGGAUUAGAUACCCGUGUAGU
rnacentral:rRNA from 1 species